GUCGAAAUCCGCUAAGGAGUGU
rnacentral:snRNA from 1 species